ACAGAAGAAAGCACCGGCUAACUCCGUGCCAGCAGCCGCGGUAAUACGGAGGGUGCGAGCGUUAAUCGGAAUUACUGGGCGUAAAGCGCAUGCAGGUGGUUUGUUAAGUCAGAUGUGAAAGACCCGGGGCGUCAACCUCGGAAUUAGCAUUUGUAAACUAGGCAGACUAGAGUACUGUAGAGGGGGGUAGGAAUUUCUAGGUGUAGCGGUGAAAUAGCGUAGAGAUCUGAAGGAAUACCGGUGGCGAAGGCGGCCCCCUCGGACAGAUACUGACACUCAGAUGCGAAAGCGUGGGGAGCAAACAGGAUUAGAUACCCUGGUAG
rnacentral:rRNA from 1 species